UACAGGGGGUGCAAACGUUGCUCGGAAUCAUUGGGCGUAAAGCGCACGUAGGCGGUUCGUUAUGUCGGAUGUGAAAGCCCUUGGCUUAACCGAGGAAGUGCAUCCGAAACCGGCGAGCUAGAGUACUAAAGAGGAUCGCGGAAUUCCCGGUGUAGAGGUGAAAUUCGUAGAUAUCGGGAGGAACACCGGUGGCGAAGGCGGCGAUCUGGGUAGAUACUGACGCUGAGGUGCGAAAGCGUGGGGAGCAAACAGG
rnacentral:rRNA from 1 species